UUCUCUUGAAUAGUUUUUGGACUGUUUCUGUGAAUCAAAUGGGUAGUAACCAAGACUGGAAACAUUCUGUUAUGGUUUGUGCUCCAAUCACAACACAACAAUCUGUAUCUGUUGAGCAGAUUGCGAAUGACAUGUAUCAGGCAAAGGCAGAAGAUGCUGAUAUAGUGGAGGUUAGGCUUGACUGCAUCACCAACUUCCACCCGUCAUGAACUCAAAACCAUUCUCCAAAAUAAGCCACUACCUGUGCUCAUUGUUAACCAACCAAAAUGGGAGGGUGGUUUGUAUGAGGGUGAUGAGAACAUGCAGUUGGAAGCAUUACAGCUUGCUGUGGAAUUGGGGGCUGAUUUCAUAGAGGUUCAGCUGAAGGCAGCUUCUUGUCUUCCAACCUUGGUGGAACAUAAGAGAAAUCAUAAUAGUCAUGGCAAAAUAAUUGUUUCCUGCUAUGUGGAUGGCAUCAUCCCUCCGCAAGAAGAACUACUUCAACUUGUUGAACUAAUGCAAGGUACCAUUGAUUGCUUAUUCUGUUGGAGAAAGAGGAUUAAUAAGCCAGCUUCUAAGUCAAAAAUUUGGCGGGUUCUUUGUCUAUGAAUCAUUGGCAGGAAAUCCAAUCCCUGGUCUGCCUUCUCUUGACAAUAUCCAGGAAGCCUAUAAAUUGGAACAUGUAAAAGCAGAUACUAAAGUUUUUGGGCUCAUCUCAAAACCAAUUAGCCACAGCAAAGGCCCUAUACUGCAUAAUCCUCCCUUCAGACAUAUAAACUAUAAUGGAAUCUAUGUCCCCAUGUUUGUUGAUGAUCUUAAAGAGUUCUUUAACACCUAUCCAUGCCCUGAUUUUAGUGGUUUUAUGUAUGUCACAUGUUGACAUUAAUCUACUUACAAGUAUGAAUCAUAUUUUGUCAUUGGUCCUCAUCCAGAACUGCUCCUAUUUGAUUUUGCGGUUUGCAUGAAUGAUGGUGUUUUAAUAGCCUUGUUAUCACCGCCAACCAUUUAAGUGCUUGUAUUUCUUUCUUGUUUGGAAAAUUCAUUUCUACUUCUUUUGUACUGCAGUGUUGGGAUUCCUUAUAAGGAAGAAAUUCUAAGGUUUUGUGAUGAAGUCCAUCCGCUUGCUCAGAGCGAACCAGCCAGUUUAACCGCUUGAAUGGGAAACCAGUGACUAGUCCAGAGACUCUAAAAAAUCAGAGCAUUGCAGAACCAGUGGAAAUCGGUCAAACAGUCUAUAGGAGCAGUUAAUACUAUAAUAAGGAGAGCAAGACAUGGAAAGCUUGUUGGUUAUAAUACACAUUGUGAGGCUGCAAUUACUGCAAUUGAGGAUGCACUCAUUGAGCAUGGCUGCAAUGAUGGUGGAGCAUCUUUAGGUUCACCCCUUGCUGGACGAUUGUUUGUGCUAGUUGGUGCGGGAGGUGCAGGAAUAGCACUGGCAUUUGGUUCUAAGAGCAGAGGAGCUCUGCUAGUCAUCUUUGACAUUAAUUUUGAUAGAGCAAAAUCUCUCGCUUGUGCUGUAUUUGGUGAAGCUCAGCCUUUCAAAGAGUUGGUCAACUUUCAGCCAGAGAAAGAAGCAAUUCUUGCCAAUGCAACACCCGUAGGAAUGCUUCCCAAUACAGACAGAAUUCCUGUUGCAGAGGCAACUUUGGAAGACUAGCGGUUAGUCUUUGAUGCUGUCUAUAGGCUAAGAAGAACCAGAUUGUUGAAAGAAGCGGAUGCUGCAGGAGCAAUAACUGUGGGUGGGGUAGAAAUGUUCCUAAGGCAGGCCAUUGGUCAGUUCAAUCUUUUCACUAGCCUAGAAGCACCUGAAGAAUUUAUGCGGGAAAUUGUUUUAUCCAAAUUUUGAAGCCGCUGUUUCCAUAAAUUGAUACUACAACUUGAUGGAGGCUGCACCUAUCAAGAAAUUCUUGUACAUCACAUUUCAUAACAAUUUUUUAUUAAAAAAAUCCCUUAUUCUUAGUUGGGACGACAACUAUAAUGCAACAUAAUAAAUUGAAAUAAUAGGCAAAAGAGCAAAAGCUGUUGUGGACGCAGCCGAAAGACAUUGUUCAACUUAUUUUGUGGUUUUAGGAAUAAAAUGCUUUGAUUCUCAGCAAAAAUAAAAUAAAAAAAUUGCCUUUGGUAAUAUUAA